GUGGCGAACGGGUGAGUAACACGUGGGUGAUCUGCCCUGCACUUUGGGAUAAGCCUGGGAAACUGGGUCUAAUACCGAAUAGGACCACGCGCUUCAUGGUGUGUGGUGGAAAGCUUUUGCGGUGUGGGAUGGGCCCGCGGCCUAUCAGCUUGUUGGUGGGGUAAUGGCCUACCAAGGCGACGACGGGUAGCCGGCCUGAGAGGGUGACCGGCCACACUGGGACUGAGAUACGGCCCAGACUCCUACGGGAGGCAGCAGUGGGGAAUAUUGCACAAUGGGCGCAAGCCUGAUGCAGCGACGCCGCGUGAGGGAUGACGGCCUUCGGGUUGUAAACCUCUUUCAAUAGGGACGAAGCGCAAGUGACGGUACCUAUAGAAGAAGCACCGGCCAACUACGUGCCAGCAGCCGCGGUAAUACGUAGGGUGCGAGCGUUGUCCGGAAUUACUGGGCGUAAAGAGCUCGUAGGUGGUUUGUCGCGUUGUUCGUGAAAACUCACAGCUUAACUGUGGGCGUGCGGGCGAUACGGGCAGACUAGAGUACUGCAGGGGAGACUGGAAUUCCUGGUGUAGCGGUGGAAUGCGCAGAUAUCAGGAGGAACACCGGUGGCGAAGGCGGGUCUCUGGGCAGUAACUGACGCUGAGGAGCGAAAGCGUGGGGAGCGAACAGGAUUAGAUACCCUGGUAGUCCACGCCGUAAACGGUGGGUACUAGGUGUGGG
rnacentral:rRNA from 1 species